rnacentral:rRNA from 1 species
GACGAACGCUGGCGGCGUGCCUAACACAUGCAAGUCGAGCGGGGAGGAGGAAGCUUGCUUCCGAAUCCUAGCGGCGGACGGGUGAGUAACGCGUGGGUAACCUGCCUCGUACAGGGGGGAUAACAGUUAGAAAUGACUGCUAAUACCGCAUAACCCGCUAAGGUCGCAUGACCUGGACGGAAAAGAUUUAUCGGUACGAGAUGGACCCGCGUCUGAUUAGCUAGUUGGUGAGGUAACGGCCCACCAAGGCGACGAUCAGUAGCCGGCCUGAGAGGGUGAACGGCCACAUUGGGACUGAGACACGGCCCAAACUCCUACGGGAGGCAGCAGGUGGGGAAUAUUGCACAAUGGGGGAAACCCUGAUGCAGCAACGCCGCGUGAGUGAAGAAGUAUUUCGGUAUGUAAAGCUCUAUCAGCAGGGAAGAAAAUGACGGUACCUGACUAAGAAGCCCCGGCUAACUACGUG